UCCCUGGUAGUAUAUCGGUUAGUACACGCGCCUGUCAUUGCUAUGUGUUUAAGUGGGUACAGCUGCGCGCGAAAGCUGGGUUCGACUCCCAGCCAGGGAG